rnacentral:rRNA from 1 species
GACGAACGCUGGCGGCGUGCCUAAUACAUGCAAGUAGAACGCUGAAGGAGGAGCUUGCUUCUCUGGAUGAGUUGCGAACGGGUGAGUAACGCGUAGGUAACCUGCCUGGUAGCGGGGGAUAACUAUUGGAAACGAUAGCUAAUACCGCAUAACAGUAGAUGUUGCAUGACAUUUGCUUAAAAGGUGCAAUUGCAUCACUACCAGAUGGACCUGCGUUGUAUUAGCUAGUUGGUGAGGUAACGGCUCACCAAGGCGACGAUACAUAGCCGACCUGAGAGGGUGAUCGGCCACACUGGGACUGAGACACGGCCCAGACUCCUACGGGAGGCAGCAGUAGGGAAUCUUCGGCAAUGGACGGAAGUCUGACCGAGCAACGCCGCGUGAGUGAAGAAGGUUUUCGGAUCGUAAAGCUCUGUUGUAAGAGAAGAACGAGUGUGAGAGUGGAAAGUUCACACUG